AUUUUCAAGAUUAGCAACCUCCAUAGCUAGAAUCCUUCAUCAAGACCACAAAUAUUCGGAAUUUUUGGUGAAAGAAUUGAGAAAAGGUUCAAAAGCCAUUCUUGCCAAAAGAGCUUCACCCAAAAAGAUGCCAUCUAGCGUAGGCUCGUGUAGCCCGACGAACCCCAGGAUUCGUCGGAGUACACAUGCCCAGGGAUGGCUAUGAGAUGUAUAUACCGUGUAUGAUGGGUGCCGACCCUUACGACAUGAAUAGGAUGGAAGUUGAGGUUGAGAUCUACUCUAUCUUAGAAUAGACACCCUGGAAGUUUUAGCAUUUGGAGAAAUAUCCGGUUGUAUUAAGUUUGAAAUGGGGAUGAUGUAUUAAGUGUUAUAAAUUAGCCUUAGCGUUUGGGUAUAGGAAAGAUACCUGA